GGGAGCGUAGAUCAAUUGGUUAGAUCGUUAGCCUGUCACGCUAAAGGUUGCGGGUUCAAGUCCCGUCGCUCUCG
rnacentral:tRNA from 1 species